UAAAAGGGAGUAUUCAAAAAUUUAUUCUAAACACGUUGGAUAAGUGUUUUUAAAAAUAGCUCCCGAAAACGCGAGUCUCAAAUGUUUUAGAAACUAAAACUUUUUCGCAAAGCUAUAUGUGUAAUUUUCAUACGAUAGUCGAGGAUAUCUGCAGGCAGCUUUUAUUAUUUUACUCAACCAAAAAAAAGUUGUUAGUAUAAAGAUAUAAGAGUAAUGCGGCUUGUUUGUAGAUUAUAUUAUUUCUUAGUGAAAAGACAAAUAAUACAAGAUAAUAUUAUGUCUAUAUGUGCCGAUAAUAAUCAUAUAAAGUGUACACGUAAUACAAUUAUUAUUAUUCGCGAGUAUAAAUCCCAAAGGACGCAAUUAAUUAGUUCCGGAGUUCCUUUAUUCAAAUCCCGUAGACGAGCGUAGGUGUACAACUUUUGUAACAUUAUAAUGUAGUAAAGUUCGUAAUACGAGUAAGUGUACACAUAUUGUAAGCCUAUUCCAAAAGGGCAAACAAUAAUAUAUUAACAUUAAUAUACUACAAAAAUAACAUAGAGUUCGUCGGAAAGCAUUCGCUUUUAUUACCAACGGUAGAACAAAACGGUGAGUAUUGCAUUUUUUUCCUCGUUUAUAAUAUUAUAUUAAUUGAAAAGUUAUAGGUAAUUAUUUUGGGAACAAAUCGCAUUGGUUUCGACAACACAAAUAAUAUAAUAUAACGCCUAUUAUUUGACGAAUAAAACAAAAUGUCUUGUACGAAAUUAAACCAUUAAAUCCAAUUUGAAAGAUGCUUGAUGGUAUCAGGUGAAUAGAAAUGAUUAGCGAUUUUGAAGUAUUAAGCCAAGUGUGGAAAAAAAAGACUUUUGUGCCGUAUUAAUCAGUACAAUUGGGCGAAGAAGUGGAAAGAUGUUCGACCGUCUGCACAAAUUAAAGACA